UACGGGGGGGGCAAGCGUUGUUCGGAAUUACUGGGCGUAAAGGGCUCGUAGGCGGCCAACUAAGUCGGACGUGAAAUCCCCAGGCUCAACCUGGGAACUGCGUCUGAUACUGGAUGGCUUGAAUCCGGGAGAGGGAUGCAGAAUUCCAGGUGUAGCGGUGAAAUGCGUAGAUAUCAGGAGGAACACCGGUGGCGAAGGCGGCUUUCUGGACAGAUACCGACGCUGAGGCACGAAAGCUAGGGGAGCAAACAGG
rnacentral:rRNA from 1 species